GAAUUCGCCCUUAGAGUUUGAUUCUGGCUCAGGAUGAACGCUGGCGGCGUGCCUAACACAUGCAAGUCGAGCGAUGAAGUUUCCUUCGGGAAACGGAUUAGCGGCGGACGGGUGAGUAACACGUGGGUAACCUGCCUCAUAGAGGGGAAUAGCCUUCCGAAAGGAAGAUUAAUACCGCAUAAUAUUAUUGAGUGGCAUCACUUGAUAAUCAAAGGAGCAAUCCGCUAUGAGAUGGACCCGCGUCGCAUUAGUUAGUUGGUGGGGUAACGGCCUACCAAGACGACGAUGCGUAGCCGACCUGAGAGGGUGAUCGGCCACAUUGGGACUGAGACACGGCCCAGACUCCUACGGGAGGCAGCAGUGGGGAAUAUUGCACAAUGGAGGAAACUCUGAUGCAGCAACGCCGCGUGAGCGAUGAAGGUCUUCGGAUCGUAAAGCUCUGUCUUUAGGGAUGAUAAUGACAGUACCUAAGGAGGAAGCCACGGCUAACUACGUGCCAGCAGCCGCGGUAAUACGUAGGUGGCGAGCGUUAUCCGGAUUUAUUGGGCGUAAAGGGAGCGUAGGCGGAUACUUAAGUGGGAUGUGAAAUACUUGGGCUCAACCCGAGUACUGCAUUCCAAACUGAGUAUCUAGAGUGCAGGAGAGGAGAGUGGAAUUCCUAGUGUAGCGGUGAAAUGCGUAGAGAUUAGGAAGAACACCAGUGGCGAAGGCGACUCUCUGGACUGUAACUGACGCUGAGGCUCGAAAGCAUGGGGAGCAAACAGGAUUAGAUACCCUGGUAGUCCAUGCUGUAAACGAUGAAUACUAGGUGGGGGGAGGACUGACCCUUUCCGUGCCGGAGUUAACACAAUAAGUAUUCCACCCUGGGGAGUACGACCGCAAGGUUGAAACUCAAAGGAAUUGACGGGGGCCCGCACAAGCAGUGGAGUAUGUGGUUUAAUUCGAUGCAACGCGAAGAACCUUACCUGGUCUUGACAUCCACAGAACUUUCCAGAGAUGGAUUGGUGCCUUCGGGAACUGUGAGACAGGUGCUGCAUGGCUGUCGUCAGCUCGUGUUGUGAAAUGUUGGGUUAAGUCCCGCAACGAGCGCAACCCUUAUCCUUUGUUGCCAGCGGUCCGGCCGGGAACUCAAAGGAGACUGCCAGUGAUAAACUGGAGGAAGGUGGGGAUGACGUCAAGUCAUCAUGGCCCUUACGACCAGGGCUACACACGUGCUACAAUGGCGCAUACAAAGAGAAGCGACCUCGCGAGAGCAAGCGGACCUCAUAAAGUGCGUCGUAGUCCGGAUUGGAGUCUGCAACUCGACUCCAUGAAGUCGGAAUCGCUAGUAAUCGUGGAUCAGAAUGCCACGGUGAAUACGUUCCCGGGCCUUGCACACACCGCCC
rnacentral:rRNA from 1 species